CACACAGACACAUACACUGGUAGACGUACUGACAGACAUACUGACACAGGCACAUAUACAGACAUACUGACACACAGACACAUAUACCGACAUACUGACACACAGACACAUACACUGAUCAACAUACUGACACACAUACACUGACAGAAAUACUGACACCCAUACACUGACAGAUAUACUGACACCCACAUACACUGAGAAAUACUGACACACACACACAGGCACAUACACUGAC